rnacentral:rRNA from 1 species
AUUGAACGCUGGCGGCAGGCCUAACACAUGCAAGUCGAACGAGCGGCGGACGGGAGAGUUAUGUCUGGGAACCUGCCUGAUGGAGGGGGAUAACUACUGGAAACGGUAGCUAAUCCCGCAUACCAUCGGAUGUUCCCAGCGGGGAUUCGCUAGUAGGUGGGGUAACGGCUCACCUAGGCGACGAUCCCUAGCUGGUCUGAGAGGAUGACCAGCCACACUGGAACUGAGACACAGGCCAGGCUCCUACGGGAGGCAGCAGUGGAGAAUAUUGCACAAGGGGCGCAAGCCUGAUGCGGCAACGCCGCGUGCGGGAUGACGGCCUUCGGGUUGUAAACCGCUUUCAGCCAUGACGCGGUAGUGGCAGAAGAAGCACCGGCUAACUACGUGCCAGCCGCCGCGGUAAUUC